rnacentral:rRNA from 1 species
GUAGUCAUAUGCUUGUCUCAAAGAUUAAGCCAUGCAUGUCUAAGUAUAAGCAAUUAUGCCGCGAAACUGCGAAUGGCUCAUUAUAUAAGUUAUCGUUUAUUUGAUAGCACAUUACUACUUGGAUAACCGUGGUAAUUCUAGAGCUAAUACAUGCUAAAAAUCCCGACUUCGGAAGGGAUGUAUUUAUUAGAUUAAAAGCCAACGCCCUUCGGGGCUCUGUGGUGAUUCAUAAUAACUGGUCGAAUCGCAUGGCCUUGCGCCGGCGAUGGUUCAUUCAAAUUUCUUCCCUAUCAACUUUCGAUGCGAGGGUCUUGUCCUCGCAUGGUUGCAACGGGUAACGGGGAAU